rnacentral:rRNA from 1 species
CCUACGGGAGGCAGCAGUGGGGGAUAUUGCACAAUGGCGGAAACCCUGAUGCAGCAACGCCGCGUGGGUGAAGAAGCGCCUCGGCGCGUAAAGCCCUGUCAGCAGGGAAGAAAAUGACGGUACCUGAAGAAGAAGCAGCGGCUAACUACGGGCCAGCAGCCGCGGUAAUACGUAGGGGGCAAGCGUUAUCCGGAUUUACUGGGUGUAAAGGGGGCGCAGCCGGCGAUGCAAGCAAGGAGUGAAAGCCCGGGGCCCAACCCCGGGACUGCUCUUGGAACUGCGUGGCUAGAGUGCAGGAGGGGCAGGCGGAAUUCCUGGUGUAGCGGUGAAAUGCGUAGAUAUUAGGAGGAACACCGGUGGCGAAGGCGGCCUGCUGGACUGCAACUGACGUUGAGGCCCGAAAGCGUGGGGAGCAAACAGGAUUAGAUACCCGAGUAGUC